rnacentral:rRNA from 1 species
CUGAGAGGUGAUGCGUAGCCGUAGCGGCGAAAUCCAUGAUCCUAUGCUGCCGAGAAAAGCCUCUAGCGAGCUGGUACAUGGCCCGUACCCCAAACCGACACAGGUGGUCAGGUAGAGAAUACUAAGGCGAUCGAGAGAACUGUGGUUAAGGAACUCGGCAAAAUGCCCCCGUAACUUCGGGAGAAGGGGGACCAGUCCUGGUGACGACAUUUACUGUCUGAGCUGGGGUUGGUCGCAGAGACCAGAGAGAAGCGACUGUUUACUAAAAACACAGGUCCGUGCGAAGUCGUAAGACGAUGUAUACGGACUGACGCCUGCCCGGUGCUGGAAGGUUAAGAGGACCGGUCAGCCACUUCGGUGGCGAAGCUGAGAAUUUAAGCCCCAGUAAACGGCGGUGGUAACUAUAACCAUCCUAAGGUAGCGAAAUUCCUUGUCGGGUAAGUUCCGACCUGCACGAAUGGCGUAACGACUUCUCUGCUGUCUCAACCACAGACUCGGCGAAAUUGCAGUACGAGUAAAGAUGCUCGUUACGCGCGGCAGGACGAAAAGACCCCGGGACCUUCACUAUAGCUUGGUAUUGGUGUUCGGUUCGGUUUGUGUAGGAUAGGUGGGAGACUGUGAAACUCGCACGCCAGUGUGGGUGGAGUCAUUGUUGAAAUACCACUCUGACCGUAUUGGACAUCUAACCUCGGACCAUGAUCUGGUUCAGGGACAGUGCCUGGUGGGUAGUUUAACUGGGGCGGUUGCCUCCCAAAAAGUAACGGAGGCGCCCAAAGGUUCCCUCAGCCUGGUUGGCAAUCAGGUGUUGAGUGUAAGUGCACAAGGGAGCUUGACUGUGAGACGUACAUGUCGAGCAGGGACGAAAGACGGGACUAGUGAUCCGGCACCGGCAAGUGGAAGCGGUGUCGCUCAACGGAUAAAAGGUACCCCGGGGAUAACAGGCUGAUCUUCCCCAAGAGUCCAUAUCGACGGGAUGGUUUGGCACCUCGAUGUCGGCUCGUCGCAUCCUGGGGCUGGAGUAGGUCCCAAGGGUUGGGCUGUUCGCCCAUUAAAGCGGCACGCGAGCUGGGUUUAGAACGUCGUGAGACAGUUCGGUCUCUAUCCGCCGCGCGCGUAAGAAACUUGAGGAAACCUGUCCCUAGUACGAGAGGACCGGGACGGACGAACCUCUGGUGUGCCAGUUGUUCCACCAGGAGCACCGCUGGUUAGCUACGUUCGGAAGGGAUAACCGCUGAAAGCAUCUAAGCGGGAAGCCUGUUCCAAGAUGAGGUUUCUCACCACCUAGCGUGGUUAAGGCCCCCCACAGACCAUGGGGUUGAUAGGCCAGAACUGUAAGCACAGCAAUGUGUUCAGGUGACUGGUACUAAUCGGCCGAGGACUUACAAC